GGCUUCGUAGCUCACUUGGUAGGGCGCUUGCCGCGUAGAGGCAUGAUGUUUCUGUCGCUGGUUCGAAUCCAGCCGAAGCCC
rnacentral:tRNA from 1 species